rnacentral:rRNA from 1 species
AUUGAACGCUAGCGGGAUGCUUUACACAUGCAAGUCGAACGAGUGGCGGACGGGUGAGUAAUAUAUCGGAACGUGCCCAGUAGCGGGGGAUAACUACUCGAAAAAGGGGCUACUACCGCAUACUAUUGGUGCGGCCGAUAUGGGAUUAGCUGGUGGGGGGGGUAAUGGCGCACCAAGGAAACGACCCGUAGCAGGUUUGCGCGGACGACCAGCCACACGGGGACUGAGACACGGCCCAGACUCCUACGGGAGUCAGCAGUGGGGAAUUUUGGACAAUGGGUGAAACCCUGAUCCAGCCAUCCCGCGUGUAUGAGAAGGCCUUCGGGUUGUAAAGUACUUUUGGCAGAGAAGCGGUAUCUGCAGAAUAAGCACCGGCUAACUACGUGCCAGCAGCCGCGGUAAUUC